rnacentral:misc_RNA from 1 species
GAAGUCGUAACAAGGUAGCCGUACCGGAAGGUGCGGCUGGAUCACCUCCUAACAGGGAGACAAAAAUAGAUCGUGAUGUCUAAGCUAUUUGUGCUUAGGCCAUGGUCCUGUCACCUUAGGUCGAUCGGUACCUCAAUUUAACAGUCAAAAAGUAGCAAUAAGAGUUCAACUCUUUACUUUUGACUUUGAAUUCAGUUCCUAAACUUUGUCUAGGUCACACCCAACAAGGGUAGUACUCCUGGGCCAUUAGCUCAGGUGGUUAGAGCGCACCCCUGAUAAGGGUGAGGUCCCUGGUUCAAGUCCAGGAUGGCCCAUUCGGUGUUGGGGGUAUAGCUCAGUUGGUAGAGCGCCUGCUUUGCAAGCAGGAUGUCAGCGGUUCGAGUCCGCUUACCUCCACUGAUCACCUACUAAUAGCGAACUUAGGAGAUUGUCUUUGUUUGAUGUGAUUUAGAACUUGUUCACUGAAAGAACCUAGCUUCUUAUCAUUCCUUUUCUUACUAUUUGUAGAUUAGGUUGAUAUGACGCUGGGCUCAUUUUGAUUCGCAAGAAUCAAAUAGUAGUUCAGUAGAACCUUGACAACUGCAUAGGUAAGUCUGGAAAAAUAAAGCAUCUCAUGGAUUCAUUUUUUAGAGUUUUGAUUAUUCAAAAUUCUAUUAAAAUGAUCAAUUCUUGAGUUAGAGCUGAGACUCUAUAAUUAGAUGUUGAUUUCUAAUAUAGAAAUCAAAUACCUCAUCCCAUAAUUAAAAAUUUUAAUUAUGGAUAUGGGACUUAUUUAGUCCCGUAAAUUAUAGAGAUUAAUGGUCAAGCUACAA